AUCUUGGGGGCUGUUUAUUUGAAGUUUUGUGUCAGUAGGGGACUAGCAGGAAACAGAUGGCCCAGUCAAACUGGGUGAUGGAGGAAGUUUAAGAAAGGGACCGUUUGCAGAGACAUGGGCUGGGUUCAGGGAAACCAGGAGACUGCAGGCGUGGUGGUGGGUGAGGGGCCGUCACCACCUCUGGGCCUGGAAAGCAAGGAGGCGGGGAGGCUGGACCCCAGAGGCAGCUGCAGGAAGAGGGCCACGUGGCAGGCACUGUAGCUCUCCCAGCCCUGCACGGGGCCAUGCAGCCAGCCUGCCCCUCUGGAGGUGUGCCCAGGAGGAUUUGAUUUACCCCCCAAUUCUUCCUCAAAUGUGUCCCAGUUUGGACAGUAAAUAGUUAGAUCAUCCAGGCAAGGGCACCCGUUAGCCCAGUCCACUUGGAACAGUCUCAGGAGAAAGAAAGCAAAGCAGAAGGGUGGAGAGCACAGGUGUGGGGGUGGGGGGGCACAGGGGAGCAUGGAAGACCUUCAGUCUGAGUAUUUCCUGCUCAUUGAUCCUGAAGAAAUCUCAGGGGGUUGGCUGGAAAGGGUCACCCCUGGACUCAUGUUCUAGAAGGACACCCUGUUUGGAACUUCGCUUCCCAAAGGCAUGGAGCCAGACCCUAGGACUUUUGAUUUCAAAUCCUCCCCCUUCCUUUUUUGGUGAGGGGAUGGAACCUGGGGACUCCUUCACGCUAAUGCUGUAUCACUGAGCUACGUCCCUGGCCUUUCAAAUUUCUGCUAAGAACACCUCUCAGCAUCUUCCCAGUGCAUCGUAACUAAAAUUACCAGGUGGGACUCCAUUCAUCCAGGAGAGGAGCACACACCAAUGAAGGACUCCGUUUUCCACCUGGCAAAAUACUUGGCCCUGACGGCACAGGAUUCUGAGCAAGAUUGCUCCCCCUCGAGAGCAGCCAAGACCUGGGGUACAGCCAGCAUUACAUUCUGAUUUUUUUUUUUAAAGCAAUGGUUUCCCUUCUGUGGACUGUGAAGAGAGGGUCCUCCAUGGAAUCCACUGUAAGAGAUCCUUACAUCCUUGUGAACCAGAAAGCCUUGGGCUAUGGUUUGGACAUUCCUACCAAAACUCAUGUUGAAAAAAUUUUUAGCCAAAUCCUCAGAAGACUGUCCAGGCAGGUGCCAGGUGCAGAGCCGAGACACAGCAAGAGAAAGGGGCCCAGCUCUGUCUCCCAGGCCAGGAUCCAGGACAACAGUGGCCCUUCAUGUUCCAGGCAGCCUUGAGCAGCCGGCAGAUAAAGUCCACGUGCAGGAGCUGAGGUGGAGUGAGGCCCGUCAGCUGGGCGUGAGGUUGGACAGUCGUGGACAGGAGGAAGCCACCGUUCUGUGAGCGUUUAGUCCUCACGUGAACCUGGAGAGCGUCUCCCAUGAGCUCAUUCCACAGGGAAAGGGACGAGGCUAGGAGAAGCCAUGCCAUCUGCUCAGGUCACAGAGCCAGUGGGGUGCAGCUGGGCUGUGGAGCUGGAGCUGCCCUUCAGGCCUGGAUGCCCCCCAACCCCCGCCUCUGUGACCUCGAGUUCCUCUGGGCCACAGCCAGGAGACACUGGUGUUCAUGUGACGGGGGCUCUGCUUUAUGUUUCAGCCUGUGGAGCUGUGUUCCCACAGGUCCCAUCAUGAGGCCAGAGGCCAGAGGUCAGAUCAGAACCCUGGGCCUGGGUCCAAGGGGAGACCCUUCCACCCACUGCACGUGUGGCUUGCGGGCAUCCUCAUGUCUGUUUCUGCAACCCGGAGCCUUUGUGGUCAGUCCUCGAGGCCAGGCCCCUCAGCCCUCUGGCUUGCAUAGCAUCGAAUGACAGAAGCAGCCACCUGGAAGGAACGCGUGUCCUCUUACAUGGGUCUCCUCCUGACCCCCACAGUGGAUGCUAUUAGUACCCACGUUGUGCAGGUGGGGACACUGGGGUAUGGCAGGUGAAGUCAUUCGUCUAGAUCAUCCUGGGGGGCUGGAGCCAGUUUCCUACAGAGGUGAUCCCACUCCAGAACUCCUAGGGUGCUGUCCCUCCAGCCCUGCAAUGUCAGCUGUGGACGAGCAGAGCCCAGGGCUGUCUCCACUGAGUUCCAGGUGUCCUCGUGGAUGCCUGGUACACAGUGCGGCUCAGCAGGUAUCACGAAAUGACAGACUGACUGUCACGGCCCUGCCAAGGACGCUCUGGAAGAGCUGUCACCUGCAGGUCCCCUUCUCUGGCCCUCUCUCUGGAGCUCGCCUACUUCUGUUCCUUGACACCAUUUAUGGGAAGCAGUGUUAAGUUUACAGCCUCGUGAGCAGCGGCUCCGCGGGGUCCGUUCCCACAUCGGCUGCCGCGGGAUCCUGGCAGCUUUUUUUGGGUCGUUCAUUUCCCCUGCGGGGCACUGAUGGCUGCCCCAGACCCCUCCUGGGAUGUGGACUAUUUUGCAUUUGUAAGCUACCACCUUUAUGGAAAGGGCCUGUGGGAUUGGGGUGUGCCGUGACCACUUGUUCCCCUGCAGACAGUGUCAAGGCCACCUUCACCUGAAAAUGAAUGCACGUGACCAGCAGUGUGACAUAGAGAAUGUCCUUGUGGCACUGGAUGUUCACGCAGGACUCCAGUGAGGCUGGGUGUGUGAAGCAUGCCAGGGGCAGGGGGUUGCUGAUGCCAAGGAUUGUCCUGCAAGAGUUUACAGUGGGGUGGGGGAAGAAAAAGGAGGCACCCUUGUGUGGGGACAGGCAGGACAGGAAGGGGGGGGAAGGCUGGGGGCUUGAGGACUCUGCCCUUCCACAGCCCCCACCCAUCAUCCUACCCUACCCCAGUCCCCCUCAGCAGGACGGCAGGUGGAGGGAAGUUUCCAGAAUACAGUUCCCCCCGGUCUGUGCCAGGUCCCUUCCCCAGCUCCGCUUGAUCCCACAGCAUGGCUACGAGAAGGUUGUUACUGAUUUAUUUUGCAGUGUGGGAAACUGAUGCUGACCACUGCCACUGCCAGGUGACCCAGUCAUCAACCAAAUCAAGGUUUGUCUGUGGCCGGAGUUGCCCUUCAGCCUCGACCACCUGCAUGCUGACAAUGAAAGACACCCAAAUCCGUGACGGUGACCAUGAGGACCUCUUUCAUGUCCUCCGGUCUUUUUGUUAUGUGGGCGAUUCUCCAGUCUGCUCCCUCUUGGGGUUCAGCGAGUAAAACCUCUUUAAAAUGUCAAGGAAUGGGGCACUCACUGCAGGAAAUGGAGUUCUCCGUGAUGGAUGACCUUGGGGAGGACGGAUGCCCCUGAAAGUGAUGGCAGGCACCAAAAAAGGAAGGCCCCUGGCGGGAGGAGGGAGAGGGCCCCAGGAGAGCUGGCGGAGAGUGAGUCAUCCUAACCACCAGUGGGGGAAGCCCUGGUGUUUGUUUGUUUCCAUGGCUACCCGCCCACCCUCCCGCCUGCAGGGCAGCCUUCAUUUCCUCUGUGAUCCUGUGUGCCCCGGGCAGCCCUUUCGCUAGUCAAAUAUUUGCUCAGUGUUUCCACCUGCCCAUGUGCAGUUAAGGCCAGGUUCUGCUGCUCAUAGGACACGGACACCCCCAGCGGCCCAAGACCUGGUUAUUUUUCUCUCACCGUCAAGUCUUCAGGUUGGCCUUGCAGGGCUGGUAUGGAGUCCCUUGGUGUCACCAGGGUCUGGGCUCUUGUCUCCCUGCUCUUCCUUCCACCUGGGACUUCUUGAAGAAGGUGGGGAAAGAGCCUUUUCCAAAUGAAGCAGCUUUUUAAGAACCGCCUCCUGAGGCACCCAAAUCAUGCUUCUCCUUGGCCAGUAUUUGUUCACCUGCCCACAUUUCAGGGGUGGCUAAGAAACACAGCUAUAUUUUGAGGAUUGCUCACAGCAAUUUGCACAUCUAAACACAAGGACUUACUAAUGGAUGGUUGGUUGUUCCAACAGGCAGAUGCAUACAGGUCAAAUCUGGCCACAGAUGCUUUGUCAAUAAAGUUUUAUUGGUCUACUGCCAAGA